UACGGGGGGGGCAAGCGUUGUUCGGAAUUACUGGGCGUAAAGGGCUCGUAGGCGGCCAACUAAGUCAUACGUGAAAUCCCUCGGCUUAACCGGGGAACUGCGUCUGAUACUGGAUGGCUUGAGUUCGGGAGAGGGAUGCGGAAUUCCAGGUGUAGCGGUGAAAUGCGUAGAUAUCUGGAGGAACACCGGUGGCGAAGGCGGCAUCCUGGACCGAUACUGACGCUGAGGAGCGAAAGCCGGGGGAGCAAAACGGGG
rnacentral:rRNA from 1 species